AACGAGGAGAACUGAGGUGGUGGUGGUGGUGGGAAGUGGAAGGAAGGGCUCUCUCUCUGGAUGGACUGUGGAUGUCUGGAGCUACUUUUCUUUUUUUUCUUACAACACUGGCGGGCGAGGCGAUUCCUACAUUUUUUUUUUUCUUCUCUUCUUCUUCUUUCUUCUUUUGGGUUUUGGGGUUUGGGAGAGGGAGCGAGAUGAUCGAUGGAGAUUAGAUUAGAGAGGCAAGAGAGAGGCAAACGAGCGAACGCUUAUAUUCAUUCUACCAAAGCUGCUACAAAGAAGAGAGGCUGGAAAGGGAGCGUUUGGACAUGACGACGAUGACGUAGAGCUCCGAUCGCGUAAAUGUGAUUGAAUUGGAUACACAUACGUAGACAGCGAGCUCCUUUUUCGCGUUUGCAUCGUUGCCAUGCAAACGCAAAUCACUUUCGCGCUUGGAAAAGAUCCCCCCUUGAAAGUAAGAGAGAGAGAGAGAGAGAGAGAGAGAGAGAGGGAGAGGGAGAGGGAGAGAGAGAGAGAGGAGAGCUCCCCUUAGCCGCGAUUUUCAAAGCCGCAUAUAAAUAAAAACGUGGAUGUCAAAGGGA